AGGUGCCUGUCCACGUGAGAGUAAAGUCGCUCUCGAGAGUAGUACUCGCCAGUGGACACGCUGCCGAGAGUAACUGCAGGCGUGUUACUCUCAGUCGUGAGAGUACUCUCGAGAGCAACUUUCAGAAUUUACUCUCACGUGGACAGGCACCUUCAGUCGUGAGAGUACUCUCGAGAGCAACUUUCAGAAUUUACUCUCACGUGGACAGGCACCUUAAUUAAGGGAUACAUUCUACUUGGACGCUGACAGCGUUUUCGACUUGGCGUUGUAAACGCUACAAGCGUUUAGAUGGGUGCGUUUAGAAUUGUGUUCUCAACGCUCCCGACGUUCAAGUGGUUGAACGCAUCCACAGAGAGAAUAAUCGUUUGUUAUCUCUGUAUCGUACCAACGCUUGUUUCGCUGUCUUCACUUUUCGAUAAAUCCAGUGUUAUUUUGUCGAGUAAUGGAAAAAGAACAAGAUCACUUGUUGUUGGUUCCGCGAUUUUGUAAUCGCACCAAGUCGAACAUGACGUGAACGCAACCAGCGUCACCGCGUUCACUUCAAAUCGAAUACGUUUUAGCGUUAUUAGCGUUAUAUAUUAACGCUAUUAACGCUGCCAGUGUCCAAGUAGAAUGUACCCAUAAUUUAAUCCAGUUUCUUCAUAAUAUAAAAUUUCGUUUUGUCAACGAAAGAGUAUAAUAAAUGUAACGCAUACCAUGCCCUGCUACUUGCUAUUCCAUAAUAAAUUAUCAAUUACAAUCAUCGUUCAUUACAUCGUUGUGUGAUAACCUAAAAUAUUUUACAAAAAAUAAAAAAUUUUCUUUAUAUCCAAAAAAUAAAAAUCUUUCAAUUCGAAACAGUAUGAAAAAUUGAUUGGCUGUAACAAACUUAUUCACAAUUCAUUACCUCCAGAUAGUAUUAUGAAAAUAGAGUCGCUAAAGAGGUUAUAAUUUUUUUACUUUCCAUUUGGAAGAUUUCUAUAAGAAGGCUAUAACUAUGUUCUCUGAUUUAUGCAAUUUUUUUAUCUUCCAUUAAUUUGUUAAACCCCCUGUAGAGACAAGAUUUCAUGAUUGAUUUAAAUUCAUACAAUUUUUAUAAUUUAUUCUGACCUUCCUAUUACAUUAACCGAAUACAAGCAGCAGGCAAUGUAUGUUGAGAUUUGAUUGAAUAAUUGUGAAAAACAUCACAAUAAUAUAUGUCGGAUAUAAAAAAUUCGAAGAAAGUGUCGAUGGAGUUGAAAUAUGUAAAACAGCGGCUCUAAAAGACUUCGACAAAAAUUCCUUUCAGUAAUCGACAAAUAAGGGUCUGUGAUAAACAAGACGAGAAAUACAACUGCCGACUCGUGAAGUGAACCGGUCGUUUUCGUGACCGAGAGAGAGGCGUGAUCGGGAGGGAGUGAGAGAAAAAACAAGGACGAAAAGAAACAGAGAGAAAUCACGAAUCUAUGCCAAACGUUUCGUGAAAUUGAGGACGAAUUGAGGAUGUGUAGGAGGAAUAUAUACAUUUUUUAAAUCUUAGAAACCUUUAGAUACAUACUUUUCUGUAUCAAAAAUCUUAUAGUUUUACAACUAAUUCACUUUCCUUGAUAAAUAUGUAAUCCCAACAUACCAAAAUCGUUCAACGUUGAAAAAUCCUCCUUAUUUUCGUUUACAAUUUACUCGAUCGUAAUCCAUGUUCAAAGUUAUUACUUUGAACAUGGAUUAUUACCCCAACGAACUUUACGAAAUAAUCGUACUCGAGCGACUGUUUCAAAAUUUUUAAAAUGAAAAAAAAAAUCCUUAUGAAAACAAUACAAAACAUCCGUAUAUGAAGCGUGUGUCUGUCAAGGCGACACAGUGAAAGUUGUUUUGUUGUUUCUACAGAUCGGAGACAAUUUUAGUGAGGUUAUAUGUGGUAGAAUUUAGGGGAGAGUAUAUGCGGAGAAUUGCACGGUCGGAAUGCUAAAAAUGUGAUUUUUCAUCGUUCAGUAGCCCAAUCGUUCCAACGUUAAUAAAACUGUUGAGUUCAUUCAUAAUUCAUUUCUUCAAAAGUAACAAAAUGAAAAGUAGCCAAUUUUCAUAAUCUGUGAGUAAAUAAUUCAGUGCUGUCUCAAAAAGCCACAUUUCAUCGCAUUGUAAACCAUGUAAAUUUCGACAUUAUGAUACACUAAAAUUAAUAUGGUCGAGAUUAAUUCUGUUUCAUCGUUACACGUUUAUCGAUACGACUCUAUUAUUGAAACACAUACAAUAACACAAAUAUAAUCAUAGAUUUAUAUAUACUAUAAUGCAAUAUAUUAUUAUAUUAUUAUUUUAUGAUACAUAAUAUUAUAAAUCAUUCCUGGAAGGCAGGCCGAAAAGCAAGCCUUAUAAAUUACAUUUUACCGAACGGUACAAAAAAAAACACAGUUACUGGCAAAAGUCAUCGGUGUUAAAAAAGAUUACGACAAUCCAUCUUUCAUUCUUGAGCAUUGGUGCGUCACGAACGCACGAAUAAUCCUGUGAAAUUCAUACAAAGAAUCAACAAAUAACAGGAUUAAUAUUGCAGCAACGUAAAGACACAGUGAAAAGUGGUUUCUCGGCUUAUAAUCCGAUUGCACGAGGGAUCGUUCGAUGUUGUUUCGUUUUUUUCUCGAGCCACAAAACCCCUACUUGAUCGAGCCUUUACAUCAUUAUUUUGUGUUACGGUUAUGACUUCACUGUCGUUAUUAUUUUUAUGAUUGUUAUUGUUAUUAUUAGGACGCGUUACGUUGUUUGUUUACACUGGGAAACGAGCUAAUUUCACAACUAAAAGAGCAUUAUAGAGUUAUUGAUGUAACACACUGCUUAUUGUAAUGCAAAAACGUCGUCCUAACCUAGCGAAUAUUCGCGCGAGAUGCACGAACGCCAGUUUAUUUAUUCGCUCUCUUUAAUCUCCUUUCUUUCUUUCUUCGUUGUUGUUCGUGCCGAGCUCAAGAGUGGCGAGCGAGUGGAGGGGAAGAGACUAACAGCGGGAAACCACUGCGAGUGAAUCUUCGCUGAGCACGACCGAGAUUUGUAAUUAAUAUCAUUAGGCUCGUUAAGCAGCUUCCUAGUUCUCUAUUUAUAGGGAAGACAGGAGAAAUGGUAAGGUAAGAAUUAUGUACGUUCGUGUCACUCGUUCGUCGGCUAAGCCCGACCGAAGCAGAAGGAAAGUCACCUUCAACAUAUAUGCCAUAAAAAUCGGUGCAAAAGAUUGUACAAAUAUAUUUUAGUUUUUUCUUAACCGUUUCCUCGAUCGAGCGUAGCCAUCUUGGAGUCCCACGAUCCGCUCUUUUUUCUUUCGCAAUUUUGCAAUUUAGGAAAAAAUGUGGAAUUAUUCUCACGUUGUGCACACUACUACGAUGUCAAUUUGGUCGUCGUUAAAAAAUGCAUCCUGAAAUAACGCCGUAAUUAACUGCUUCGUUGAUGAAAUAAAUUUUUCUUAAUUGGAA